AUAGAACAUCCCACAAUAGUGAGGUAUAUUCAACGCUGUUGGAAUUUAGAUACAGACUUUUUUCAUUUAGAAGGUUUCCCCGUUGCUGAUGCUGCAAAACUUGCAGUAUGGCCAUUGAAACUAAAUGAAACCAUUGAAGCUAUUGACGACUAUGAGAAACUUUCGACAGUUUUAGUAUUUGUUGAAGCAAUGAUAUGGGAUGAUUAUAUAAUUCCGAAUGGAAACGAUAGGGUUAAUUUGUGUAAUAUCAUUAGUAAAGCUAGAGACAUUCUUUGUAUACUAAAAAUAGAAAUUAAUGAUAACGAACUUUUAGGAAUUCCAGAACGAAAUGUCAUGAAAACUGAAUACAGACAAGGAGAUAGAACUCACAAACUUGGCAGAAAUUACUUAAUAUUUAAGGAUUCCAUCCGAUAUUUACAGUAUAUGGUGGACAAAUAUAUUAGAUUUAUUUUUUCAUGAAAUCUUUACAGAUGAUAUUUGAAAUUGCAAUUGUUUUUUGUAGUUCUAUUAUGUGUUAUAUAGCUGCCUCUUACACAGCUGUGGUAUUUGUAGUUUUAUGAUUUUAUUUUUCUAUUUAUUUAUUCUAAAAUUAUUCAGGUUUUAUGUGCAUUCCGUCACAUAUUUGUUCAGGUUAAUGUAACUUACAUUGGCAUUAAGUCAUUACUUAAAUGCGGUCAUUCACAAAUAUUUGGAUUUUAGAUAAGUUUUUUUUUAAAUUCUACAUUCCAGAGUGUUUAACUUACCUCAACUUACCUCAACUUACCAUGACUUUAUUCGAUUUAUCAACAUAUAUUUACAUCGAAUCAACUUUUUUUAAACUGGGACCACACAAGAAAAAGCAAUACUUUUACCCUUGUUACAAGUUAUUUUUACUGUAAGAGAGGAUAACCUGAAAGUUUAUGUAAUCUGAAAUCGAUCAAUUAGUUUUACAUAUUAUCAGAAAGAGUCAAAUAAUGACAAGAUAAUUAUUGAAAUAGCUUUUUGACCUUAAACAGGGAUUUGGAACCUAGAACACAUUUUUUAUGUUGUUUAAUGUCUUUAUUACUUGAUAUCAUGUUUUGAGUUUUAUUUUUUACUGACUAUAUAUUGUUAUCCAAUAAAAAUAGCAAUGUUGUA